rnacentral:rRNA from 1 species
GUAGGUGGCAAGCGUUGUCCGGAAUUAUUGGGCGUAAAGCGCGCGCAGGCGGUCCUUUAAGUCUGAUGUGAAAGCCCACGGGCUCAACCGUGGAGGGUCAUUGGAAACUGGGGGACUUGUGUACAGAAGAGGAAAGCGGAAUUCCAAGUGUAGCGGUGAAAUGCGUAGAGAUUUGGAGGAACACCAGUGGCGAAGGCGGCUUUCUGGUCUGUAACUGACGCUGAGGCGCGAAAGCGUGGGGAGCAAACAGGAUUAGAUACCCUGGUAGUCCACGCCGUAAACGAUGAGUGCUAAGUGUUAGGGGGUUUCCGCCCCUUAGUGCUGCAGCUAACGCAUUAAGCACUCCGCCUGGGGAGUACGGCCGCAAAGGCUGA